AACAGACAGAAAAGUGAAGUUACUUGUCCAAGAUCACAUGGCUGGUAAAUGGCAGACCUAGGCUUUGAGCCUGCGCUUCCUCGGAGACCCUCUCCAGUGCCAUGGGAGUCAUACUACCCUGCCUCCUGAGGAAGUGCCCCUUGGGACAGAGACCAAGGCCUCUGGCACCUUGGCAAAUCCAGGAAACAGCUCCGCCCAGCAGCUGGCUCCAGGUGGGCUGAGUGGAAUUCUGAACUACUGCCAGCGCUACCGAGACCUGGAUUUUGUUCUCAGGCACAUCAGUGGGGGACAAAAGGAGGGGAGAGGAAGCUCAUCUCUCCAAAGCCCAGGGAGAACUGGAGAUGAGGAAUAUCAUUAUUGGCCAACUGGAAAACCUAGUUCCUUCAAAGGAGGACGUGUAGAGACCAGGUCGUGGCAAAGGGCACGGAAGAUCUGCUUGAAUCUUUCAGGUUGACAUCAUGGGGCGGACGGGAGCAGGGAAGUCGUCCCUGACCCUGGGGUUCUUUCGGAUCAAUGAGUCUGCCAAAGGAGCGAUCAUCAUCGAUGACAUCAACAUUGCCAAGAUCACCUCAUCCCCCAGGAUCUUUUUUUUUCUGAAGUCUGGUCUCC